rnacentral:rRNA from 1 species
GAUGAACGCUAGCUACAGGCUUAACACAUGCAAGUCGAGGGGAAACGACAUCAAAAGCUUGCUUUUGAUGGGCGUCGACCGGCGCACGGGUGAGUAACGCGUAUCCAACCUGCCCACCACUUGGGGAUAACCUUGCGAAAGUAAGACUAAUACCCAAUGAUAUCCCACGAAGGCAUCCGAAUGGGAUUAAAGAUUUAUCGGUAAACGAUGGGGAUGCGUUCCAUUAGACAGUUGGUGAGGUAACGGCUCACCAAAUCAACGAUGGAUAGGGGUUCUGAGAGGAAGGUCCCCCACAUUGGAACUGAGACACGGUCCAAACUCCUACGGGAGGCAGCAGUGAGGAAUAUUGGUCAAUGGACGCGAGUCUGAACCAGCCAAGUAGCGUGAAGGACGACUGCCCUAUGGGUUGUAAACUUCUUUUGUAAGGGAAUAAAGUGCACCACGUGUGGUGUUUUGUAUGUACCUUACGAAUAAGGAUCGGCUAACUCCGUG